GAACACAUGGAUGAAGCUAAUAAAUUCCACAGUCAAAAGGAACAUCUCCGUGCAAUGAAGAUGCUUAAUGAAGUCAAAAUUAAAUGUAGAAAGAGACAAGCAUGGGUUAAAACAAUUAUAAAGAUCCUAAUUUCUUUGGGCCUACCACCUGAGGUAAUUGUUAUCGAAGAGACUUUGGAGCAUCCCUUGUGAUAGUUGACUAUUGGAGUUGAGCUUGACAAGAGGAAACAUAAUAUCCAGUACCCUAUGGAUUACAAUUCUUGAUUAUCUGAAAAAGAUAUGUUGGGUUUACUCAGGAAUCUUAUUAUUUGUUUUUUAAUGUUUGUCAUACAUAAGGGGACUAGGUAGUGAAUUAUAUGAAGGCACACACAAUUGAGUAAGCCAACCUAUAGGUGUGCAGGAGCACUAUGAGGAAGUAAACAUUUAAGCGACCGUCGACCGAUCACAAGGAGUGGCGCGAGAGUAAACUGUAUUGGCUACGGAAAGUGCGAAAAGGAACAAGUAUAUAUAGAUUUAAUCCAUACCUUCUUGACUUUCUAAUAUCCUCCAUUUACAAUUGGUGGGAUUUCUUACUGCAAUGAUACUCCAACUAUUCAUUGAUAUUUCUAUAUUUUGUUUGCACAUAAAAUUGAAAUGUGCGACUAUUUUA